rnacentral:rRNA from 1 species
CCAAUAGCGUAUAUUAAAGUUGUUGCAGUUAAAAAGCUCGUAGUUGAACUUCGGGGUUCACCCAUUGGUCAGGCUUAAUUGUCUGUACUGGUGAGAUGAAUCUCUACCUUCUGAGGAACUUUCAUGCCAUUUAUUUGGUGUGAUUGGAAAUCAGGACUGUUACUUUGAAAAAAUUAGAGUGUUUAAAGCAGGCUAACGUCUGAAUACAUUAGCAUGGAAUAAUGAAAUAGGACGGAUUGAUUCUAUUUCGUUGGUUUCUAGGAUCACCGUAAUGAUUAAUAGGGAUAGUUGGGGGCAUUAGUAUUCAAUUGUCAGAGGUGAAAUUCUUGGAUUUAUUGAAGACUAACUACUGCGAAAGCAUUUGCCAAGGAUGUUUUCAUUAAUCAAGAACGAAAGUUAGGGGAUCGAAGACGAUCAGAUACCGUCGUAGUCUUAACCAUAAACUAUGCCGACUAGGGAUCGGACGCAGUUAAUUUUAUAAUGACGUGUUCGGCACCUUAC